ACUCUAAUAGUUUAUAAAAACAUUGGUCUUGUAAGCCAAAGAUUGAAGACUAAACCCCUUCUUAGAGUUCCCCACCAAAC
rnacentral:tRNA from 1 species